UACGUAGGGGGCAAGCGUUGUCCGGAUUUAUUGGGCGUAAAGAGCGUGUAGGCGGCCAGAUAGGUCAGCUGUGAAAACUCGAGGCUCAACCUCGAGAUGUCGGCUGAAACCAUCUGGCUAGAGUCCGGAAGAGGAGAAUGGAAUUCCCGGUGUAGCGGUGAAAUGCGCAGAUAUCGGGAAGAACACCCGUGGCGAAGGCGGUUCUCUGGGAUGGUACUGACGCUGAGACGCGAAAGCGUGGGGAGCGAACAGG
rnacentral:rRNA from 1 species